UACGUAGGGGGCAAGCGUUGUCCGGAAUCAUUGGGCGUAAAGAGCGUGUAGGCGGCUCGAUAAGUCUGCUGUGAAAGUCCAGGGCUCAACCCUGGAAGGCCGGUGGAAACUGUCGGGCUAGAGUCCGGAAGAGGCGAGUGGAAUUCCCGGUGUAGCGGUGAAAUGCGUAGAUAUCUGGAGGAACACCGGUGGCGAAGGCGGCAUCCUGGACCGAUACUGACGCUGAGGAGCGAAAGCCAGGGGAGCAAACGGG
rnacentral:rRNA from 1 species